CUGUAUGGUUCUAUUUAUAGCUAAGAGGGAAGUUUGGUGCAAUGCCAACGCGGUCCCGCCACUGUAAUGCAGAGCAAACUCUUAUAUCCACUGUUAUAUAUAAUGGGAAGGAGAGAGUUGUGUGACGAAGCAAAGCCAGGAGACCUGCCAUAUAG
rnacentral:ncRNA from 1 species